UGUGCGAUAGUUGAUGCACAGUCUGGCCUGCCCACUGAAAAGUUUGAAGGGCCGCGGUAUUUGGACCGUGCUAAGGUAGCAUAAUAAAUAGUCUCUUAAUUGGGGUCUAGUAUGAAUGGUCGGACAUGAAGUAAUCUGUUUUAAUUAUAAAAUUUGAAUUUUACUUUUAAGUGAAAAGGCUUAAAUUACAUGGUGGGACGAUAAGACCCUAUAAAGCUUUACAUUUUACUUGUUGGUUGGAGAGUUUAUGGUUUUCUAUUCCUAUCAAGUGAAAUUGUUUCAUUGGGGCGAUGGGAAUAUAAAUUAGUAACUGUUUUAUUUGGAAAAUAGAUCUUUUUAGUAGAAUUGAUCCUUUGUAAAGAUUAUAAGAACAAAGUUACUUUAGGGAUAACAGCGUAAUUUUUCUUGAGAGUUCAUAUCGACAGAAAUAGUUGCGACCUCGAUGUUGAAUUAAGAUGCCCCCAAGGAGUAGCAGUUUUGGUUGGUAGGUCUGUUCGACCUUUAAAAUCUU
rnacentral:rRNA from 1 species